rnacentral:rRNA from 1 species
AGUGAACGCUGGCGGUAGGCCUAACACAUGCAAGUCGAACGGCAGCACAGUAAGAGCUUGCUCUUACGGGUGGCGAGUGGCGGACGGGUGAGGAAUACAUCGGACUCUACUUUUUCGUGGGGGAUAACGUAGGGAAACUUACGCUAAUACCGCAUACGACCUACGGGUGAAAGCAGGGGAUCUUCGGACCUUGCGCGAUUGAAUGAGCCGAUGUCGGAUUAGCUAGUUGGCGGGGUAAAGGCCCACCAAGGCGACGAGCCGUAGCUGGUCUGAGAGGAUGAUCAGCCACACUGGAACGUGGACACGGUCCAGACUCCUACGGGAGGCAGCAGUGGGGAAUAUUGGACAAUGGGCGCAAGCCUGAUCCAGCCAUACCGCGUGGGUGAAGAAGGCCUUCGGGUUGUAAAGCCCUUUUGUGGGGAAAGAAAAGCAGCAGGUUAAUACCCCGCCGUUCUGACGGUACCCAAAGAAUAAGCACCGGCUAACUUCGUG